rnacentral:rRNA from 1 species
GGGUUGUGAGGUUAAGCGACUAAGCGUACACGGUGGAUGCCCUGGCAGUCAGAGGCGAUGAAGGACGUGCUAAUCUGCGAUAAGCGCCGGUAAGGUGAUAUGAACCGUUAUAACCGGCGAUUUCCGAAUGGGGAAACCCAGUGUGAUUCGUCACACUAUCAUUAACUGAAUCCAUAGGUUAAUGAGGCGAACCGGGGGAACUGAAACAUCUAAGUACCCCGAGGAAAAGAAAUCAACCGAGAUUCCCCCAGUAGCGGCGAGCGAACGGGGAGGAGCCCAGAGCCUGAAUCAGCAUGUGUGUUAGUGGAAGCGUCUGGAAAGGCGCGCGAUACAGGGUGACAGCCCCGUACACAAAAGCGCAUGUGCUGUGAGCUCGAUGAGUAGGGCGGGACACGUGGUAUCCUGUCUGAAUAUGGGGGGACCAUCCUCCAAGGCUAAAUACUCCUGACUGACCGAUAGUGAACCAGUACCGUGAGGGAAAGGCGAAAAGAACCCCGGCGAGGGGAGUGAAAAAGAACCUGAAACCGUGUACGUACAAGCAGUGGGAGCACAGGUUUACCUGUGUGACUGCGUACCUUUUGUAUAAUGGGUCAGCGACUUAUAUUCUGUAGCAAGGUUAACCGAAUAGGGGAGCCGGAGGGAAACCGAGUCUUAAUUGGGCGUUAAGUUGCAGGGUAUAGACCCGAAACCCGGUGAUCUAGCCAUGGGCAGGUUGAAGGUUGGGUAACACUAACUGGAGGACCGAACCGACUAAUGUUGAAAAAUUAGCGGAUGACCUGUGGCUGGGGGUGAAAGGCCAAUCAAACCGGGAGAUAGCUGGUUCUCCCCGAAAGCUAUUUAGGUAGCGCCUCGUGAAUUCAUCUCCGGGGGUAGAGCACUGUUUCGGCUAGGGGGCCAUCCCGGCUUACCAACCCGAUGCAAACUGCGAAUACCGGAGAAUGUUAUCACGGGAGACACACGGCGGGUGCUAACGUCCGUCGUGAAGAGGGAAACAACCCAGACCGCCAGCUAAGGUCCCAAAGUCAUGGUUAAGUGGGAAACGAUGUGGGAAGGCCCAGACAGCCAGGAUGUUGGCUUAGAAGCAGCCAUCAUUUAAAGAAAGCGUAAUAGCUCACUGGUCGAGUCGGCCUGCGCGGAAGAUGUAACGGGGCUAAACCAUGCACCGAAGCUGCGGCAGCGAACGUAUCACUUAAAGCGAUUCAGCGGGUUACGAUUGACGGAGCGAAGCGACGUCAAAGCGUAUACAAAGUCGAGUCGGUUUAAGGAUACGUUCGUUGGGUAGGGGAGCGUUCUGUAAGCCUGUGAAGGUGGCCUGUGAGGGUUGCUGGAGGUAUCAGAAGUGCGAAUGCUGACAUAAGUAACGAUAAAGCGGGUGAAAAGCCCGCUCGCCGGAAGACCAAGGGUUCCUGUCCAACGUUAAUCGGGGCAGGGUGAGUCGACCCCUAAGGCGAGGCCGAAAGGCGUAGUCGAUGGGAAACAGGUUAAUAUUCCUGUACUUGGUGUUACUGCGAAGGGGGGACGGAGAAGGCUAUGUUGGCCGGGCGACGGUUGUCCCGGUUUAAGCGUGUAGGCUGGUUUUCCAGGCAAAUCCGGAAAAUCAAGGCUGAGGCGUGAUGACGAGGCACUACGGUGCUGAAGCAACAAAUGCCCUGCUUCCAGGAAAAGCCUCUAAGCAUCAGGUAACAUCAAAUCGUACCCCAAACCGACACAGGUGGUCAGGUAGAGAAUACCAAGGCGCUUGAGAGAACUCGGGUGAAGGAACUAGGCAAAAUGGUGCCGUAACUUCGGGAGAAGGCACGCUGACACGUAGGUGAAGUGAUUUACUCACGGAGCUGAAGUCAGUCGAAGAUACCAGCUGGCUGCAACUGUUUAUUAAAAACACAGCACUGUGCAAACACGAAAGUGGACGUAUACGGUGUGACGCCUGCCCGGUGCCGGAAGGUUAAUUGAUGGGGUCAGCGCAAGCGAAGCUCCUGAUCGAAGCCCCGGUAAACGGCGGCCGUAACUAUAACGGUCCUAAGGUAGCGAAAUUCCUUGUCGGGUAAGUUCCGACCUGCACGAAUGGCGUAAUGAUGGCCAGGCUGUCUCCACCCGAGACUCAGUGAAAUUGAACUCGCUGUGAAGAUGCAGUGUACCCGCGGCAAGACGGAAAGACCCCGUGAACCUUUACUAUAGCUUGACACUGAACAUUGAGCCUUGAUGUGUAGGAUAGGUGGGAGGCUUUGAAGCGUGGACGCCAGUCUGCGUGGAGCCGACCUUGAAAUACCACCCUUUAAUGUUUGAUGUUCUAACGUGGACCCGUAAUCCGGGUUGCGGACAGUGUCUGGUGGGUAGUUUGACUGGGGCGGUCUCCUCCUAAAGAGUAACGGAGGAGCACGAAGGUUGGCUAAUCCUGGUCGGACAUCAGGAGGUUAGUGCAAUGGCAUAAGCCAGCUUGACUGCGAGCGUGACGGCGCGAGCAGGUGCGAAAGCAGGUCAUAGUGAUCCGGUGGUUCUGAAUGGAAGGGCCAUCGCUCAACGGAUAAAAGGUACUCCGGGGAUAACAGGCUGAUACCGCCCAAGAGUUCAUAUCGACGGCGGUGUUUGGCACCUCGAUGUCGGCUCAUCACAUCCUGGGGCUGAAGUAGGUCCCAAGGGUAUGGCUGUUCGCCAUUUAAAGUGGUACGCGAGCUGGGUUUAGAACGUCGUGAGACAGUUCGGUCCCUAUCUGCCGUGGGCGCUGGAGAACUGAGGGGGGCUGCUCCUAGUACGAGAGGACCGGAGUGGACGCAUCACUGGUGUUCGGGUUGUCAUGCCAAUGGCACUGCCCGGUAGCUAAAUGCGGAAGAGAUAAGUGCUGAAAGCAUCUAAGCACGAAACUUGCCCCGAGAUGAGUUCUCCCUGAGACUUUAAGUCUCCUGAAGGAACGUUGAAGACGACGACGUUGAUAGGCCGGGUGUGUAAGCGCAGCGAUGCGUUGAGCUAACCGGUACUAAUGAACCGUGAGGCUUAACCUUACAACGCCGAAG